CAGGGAUUGCCCUAGUAACGGCGAGUGAAGCGGCAACAGCUCAAAUUUGAAAUCUGGCUCUUUCAGAGUCCGAGUUGUAAUUUGCAGAGGGCGCUUUGGCUUUGGCAGCGGUCCAAGUUCCUUGGAACAGGACGUCACAGAGGGUGAGAAUCCCGUACGUGGUCGCUAGCUAUUGCCGUGUAAAGCCCCUUCGACGAGUCGAGUUGUUUGGGAAUGCAGCUCUAAAUGGGAGGUAAAUUUCUUCUAAAGCUAAAUAUUGGCCAGAGACCGAUAGCGCACAAGUAGAGUGAUCGAAAGAUGAAAAGCACUUUGGAAAGAGAGUCAAACAGCACGUGAAAUUGUUGAAAGGGAAGCGCUUGCAGCCAGACUUGCUUGCAGUUGCUCAUCCGGGCUUUUGCCCGGUGCACUCUUCUGCAGGCAGGCCAGCAUCAGUUUGGGCGGUGGGAUAAAGGUCUCUGUCAUGUACCUCUCUUCGGGGAGGCCUUAUAGGGGAGGCGACAUACCACCAGCCUAGACUGAGGUCCGCGCAUCUGCUAGGAUGCUGGCGUAAUGGCUGUAAGCGGCCCGUCUUGAAACACGGACCAAGGAGUCUAACAUCUAUGCGAGUGUUUGGGUGUCAAGCCCGAGCGCGUAAUGAAAGUGAACGGAGGUGGGAACCCGCAAGGGUGCACCAUCGACCGAUCCUGAAGUUUACGGAAGGAUUUGAGUAAGAGCAUGGCUGUUGGGACCCGAAAGAUGGUGAACUAUGCUUGAAUAGGGUGAAGCCAGAGGAAACUCUGGUGGAGGCUCGCAGCGGUUCUGACGUGCAAAUCGAUCGUCAAAUUUGGGCAUAGGGGCGAAAGACUA
rnacentral:rRNA from 1 species